rnacentral:rRNA from 1 species
GUGCCAGCCGCCGCGGUAAUACGUAGGGAGCAAGCGUUGUCCGGAAUCAUUGGGCGUAAAGCGCGCGUAGGCGGCCCUGUAAGUCCGCUGUGAAAGUCAAAGGCUCAACCUUUGAAAGCCGGUGGAUACUGCAGGGCUAGAGUCCGGAAGAGGCGAGUGGAACUCCUGGUGUAGCGGUGGAAUGCGCAGAUAUCAGGAAGAACACCAACGGCGAAGGCAGCUCGCUGGGACGGUACUGACGCUGAGGCGCGAAAGCGUGGGGAGCGAACAGGAUUAGAUACCCCUGUAGUCC